GGGCAGGGUGGAAUUCUGUCUUGUCUUCUUAUCCACAUGUUCUUAGGUGGGGAAGACAUGGAAAGAAUCCAGAACUCCUGAAUGUCUCCGCGCUGCAGGGGCAAGCCGUAUCCUGCCAGCUGCCGAAAUCCCCUCUCUGAGUAACAGGCCAGAGACUGUGCAAUCAGUAGUGUUGUCUUACCUGGUCCCAAUGGCAGCGAUGGCUUCUCAGUCCCAGCGGUUACGUGAUGAGGCGGGUCGGUGGAGACAUCUGUUGGGCCAAUAUUCUGCAGCUGUAAUUCUAGAGGAUGACCAGCAAGCAGAACCUCGCAUGGUGCUGGCCCAGGAUCACCUCUGCUGUGUAGCAGCGCUCAACGUGUUUUCCCUGAGAGUCUAUUGCGGAUGCACCACUGACAAGCAGACAUGUGGGGGUUUUUUGAGUUAAUUUUAAUAAAAAUACAUUUUCCAAUGAA